rnacentral:rRNA from 1 species
UACGUAGGGGGCUAGCGUUGUCCGGAAUCAUUGGGCGUAAAGAGCGUGUAGGCGGUCCGGUAAGUCCGCUGUGAAAGUCGGGGGCUCAACCCUCGAAUGCCGGUGGAUACUGUCGGGCUAGAGUGCGGAAGAGGCGAGUGGAAUUCCUGGUGUAGCGGUGAAAUGCGCAGAUAUCAGGAGGAACACCUAUUGCGAAGGCGGGUCUCUGGGCAGUAACUGACGCUGAGGAGCGAAAGCGUGGGGAGCGAACAGG